rnacentral:rRNA from 1 species
GACGGGGGAUGCAAGUGUUAUCCGGAAUCACUGGGCGUAAAGCGUCUGCAGGUGGUUUCCUAAGUCCACUGUUAAACCUUGAGGCUCAAUCUCAAAUCUGCAUUGGAAACUAGGAGACUUGAGUAUAGUAGGGGUAGAGGGAAUUUCCAGUGGAGCGGUGAAAUGCGUAGAUAUUGGAAAGAACACCGAUGGCGAAGGCACUCUACUGGGCUAUUACUGACACUCAGAGACGAAAGCUAGGGGAGCAAAUGGG